rnacentral:rRNA from 1 species
AUAGCCUAACGGCUGAACCAGCAACUUGGAAGAAUGUAUAGCAAAAGCUAAUCAACUGGAGAUGUUAAAAACAGUCCAGCGUGAUAUCGAUUUACUCGAAUAAAAUUCUGGGUGAAACUAUGAUAAUGACAUUAUUUUGCUUAUGUGUCUUGACCAAAUUACGUGCCAGCAGUCGCGGUAAUACGUAAAAGACUAGUGUUAUUCAUCUUUAAUAGGUUUAAAGGGUACCUAGACGGUAAGUUAAGCCACCAUAGGGACUGAUUUGCUAGAGUUAUUUAUAAGGAAGCUAUAAGGUACUACUGAGUGUAGAGAUGAAAUUCUUUGAUACCAUUGUUCGUAAGAAUGAGUUAAGGCACGGCUCUAGGCGAAAGCAUCUUCUUAUGUGAUAACUGACGUUGAGGGACGAAGGCGUCAUAUAACAAAAAGGAUUAGGUACCCAAGUAGUUGACAGCAGACAAUGAUGAGUGUCAUAGGUUAGAUAGUAAUUUAGUCUAUAAAUUAUAGUGUAAGCACUCCACCUCAAGAGUAAUUUGGCAACAUUGGAACUGAAAUCAUUAGACCGUUUCUGAAACCAGUAGUGAAGUAUGUUGUUUAAUUUGAUGAUACGCAAAAAACCUUACCACGGCGCGAGAGCGUCUUGAUCUUUAUUUAGAAAAUGAGGGUUGAAUAACUUGAAUAUUUAUACUUUUAUGCUAUAAUAUAUAGUAGUGUAUUUACAAGCGUUGCACGGCUGUCUUCAGUUAAUGUCGUGAGAUUUUGGUUAGCUCCAUUAAAUUAACGUAAACCCUUACUUUAUUUUGAUAUAAAGUAGUUCUCCGGUAUAUUGGAUAAGAUAAAAGGGACUAAGACAAGUCAUCAUGGCCAUCAU